UAAAAGUCUAACCAAACCUGGAGAUAUCUCGUUCUCUCCGAAAUAGCUAUAGGGCUAGCCUUGAGAAACUACUUUACAGGGGUAGAGCUACUGAAUGGGGAUGAGGGGCCACCAGCCUACUUACCCCAACCAAACUCCGAAUACUGUAAAGACUAUCUCAGGAGUCAGACUGUGGGGGAUAACCUCCAUGGUCAAGAGGGAAACAACCCAGACCGCCAGCUAAGGUCCCGAAGUUUUGCUAAGUUCUUAAGGAAGUUGAAUUGCUGUAACAGCCAGGAUGUUGGCUUAGAAGCAGCCACCAUUUAAAAAGUGCGUAAUAGCUUACUGGU
rnacentral:rRNA from 1 species